rnacentral:rRNA from 1 species
UUCUAGCGCCACACCACCCGGAACAAGCCCCAAUGCACCAGAUCGCGUCUGAUCCCGGAAGCUAAGCAGGGUUGAGUCUGGGUAGUACUUGUGUGGGAGAUAGCCUGGGAAUACCGGGUGCUGUAGGCU